CCUACGGGGCGCAGCAGUGAGGAAUAUUGGUCAAUGGGAGAGAUCCUGAACCAGCCAAGCCGCGUGAGGGAAGACGGCCCUAUGGGUUGUAAACCUCUUUUGUCGGAGAACAAAACCCGGGACGUGUCCCGGACUGCGUGUAUCCGAAGAAAAAGCAUCGGCUAACUCCGUGCCAGCAGCCGCGGUAAUACGGAGGAUGCGAGCGUUAUCCGGAUUUAUUGGGUUUAAAGGGUGCGUAGGCGGGACGGUAAGUCAGCGGUAAAAAUGCGGAGCUCAACUCCGUCAAGCCGUUGAAACUGUCGUUU
rnacentral:rRNA from 1 species